GGGGUUGUGGCUCAGUGGUAGAGCGCUCGCCUAACACACGUGAGGCACUGGGUUUGAUCCUCAGCACCACA
rnacentral:tRNA from 1 species